AGAGUUUGAUCAUGGCUCAGAGUGAACGCUGGCGGUAGGCCUAACACAUGCAAGUCGAACGGCAGCACAGUAAGAGCUUGCUCUUAUGGGUGGCGAGUGGCGGACGGGUGAGGAAUACAUCGGAAUCUACCUUUUCGUGGGGGAUAACGUAGGGAAACUUACGCUAAUACCGCAUACGACCUUCGGGUGAAAGCAGGGGACCUUCGGGCCUUGCGCGGAUAGAUGAGCCGAUGUCGGAUUAGCUAGUUGGCGGGGUAAAGGCCCUCCAAGGCGACGCUCCGUAGCUGGUCUGUGAGGAUGAUCAGCCCCUCUGGUUCCGAGACACGGUCCAGACUCUUACGGCAGGCUGCAAUGGCCGUCUUUUUCCAGAGAUCCAUCUCUGUGCCGGACUCCUCGAUCCACCUUCUCGUCGUGUGUUCCAAUGUCAACAAGACUAGUGGCCAUUGAUUACCGAAUUCA
rnacentral:rRNA from 1 species